rnacentral:rRNA from 1 species
UGGGGAAUAUUGGACAAUGGGCGCAAGCCUGAUCCAGCCAUGCCGCGUGAGUGAUGAAGGCCCUAGGGUUGUAAAGCUCUUUCACCGGUGAAGAUAAUGACGGUAACCGGAGAAGAAGCCCCGGCUAACUUCGUGCCAGCAGCCGCGGUAAUACGAAGGGGGCUAGCGUUGUUCGGAUUUACUGGGCGUAAAGCGCACGUAGGCGGACUUUUAAGUCAGGGGAGAAAUCCCGGGGCUCAACCCCGGAACUGCCUUUGAUACUGGAAGUCUUGAGUAUGGUAGAGGUGAGUGGAAUUCCGAGUGUAGAGGUGAAAUUCGUAGAUAUUCGGAGGAACACCAGUGGCGAAGGCGGCUCACUGGACCAUUACUGACGCUGAGGUGCGAAAGCGUGGGGAGCAAACAGG